rnacentral:lncRNA from 1 species
AAACCUGAGUUUAACCCUGCUCAAACCUGGCUUUAACCCUGCUCAAACCCAUGUAAAAGACCAACGUAUCAAACAUUUUAAGUUCAGUGCUAACCCUAACCCUAACCCUAUCAUAAGGCACAUGUGGAAAAAAAACUCAGAACUGUAAAACAUUCUGGUUCCUUAUAAACAAAAACAUAUCUUAUUCCAUAUGUACUAUAUGAUCCAGACAGACAGACAGACAGAACUCACCUGAGAGGAGAAAGCAGGAGACAACAUGGAGUAUCUUCAUUCUGGACAGUAACUCCUCAGUUACUAUACUGGUAAAGUUACUUUACUACCACAGUUACUAUACUGUUAAAGUUACUUUACCACCACAGUUACUAUACUGUUAAAGUUACUAUACUGUUAAAGUUACUUUACUAUCCCAGUUACUAUACUGUUAAAGUUACUUUACUAACAGUUACUAUACUGUUAAAGUUACUUUACUAUCCCAGUUACUAUACUGUUAAAGUUACUUUACUACCACAGUUACUAUACUGUUAAAGUUACUUUACUACCACAGUUACUAUACUGUUAAAGUUACUUUACUACCACAGUUACUAUACUGUUAAAGUUACUUUACUACCACAGUUACUAUACUGUUACAGUUAUUUUACUAUACUACCUGCUAGCCCAGUUCCACUACAGAGUCUCUGUCAGCUACACACUUGACAGCAGGGUGUUUCUGAAACGCUCUGUCUUCCUUAAUUGAAAGCUCCUCCCUCAUCUGACACCCCACCCCUCUCCUCUGUCUCUCUCUCUCUUUAUCUCUCUCUUUAUCUCUCUCUCUCUCUGUCUUUAAAUCAAAUUAAAUUCAAAGGGUUUAUUGGCUUGGGAAACAUGCUUAUAUUGUAACAGCAGAGAUACUGUCUGUCUGUCUGUCUGUCUGUCUGUCUGUCUCUCUCGCUCUCUCUCUCUCUAAGGGCUUUAUUGGCAUGGGAAACAUGCUUACAUUGCCAAAGCAGAGAGUCUGUCUGUCUGUCUGUCUGUCUGUCUG